UCUUCUUCAGUCAUAUAGCAAAUGAUGAAUGCCUGGAAAUUUAAGACUUACAAUUAAAUUGAUUUUGAGCUGAGUUUGAAACACUGAAACAUUGAGGCCUUGUUGUUCCAGUACCUCAUUCAUCUGUUAAAUAAAAGAUGGACUAUAUGGUGAUCUAUUCGAAGUAGAACAAAAUCAAACGCUAAACAGUACUUUUUUAAAAAUAAUUAUUACAAUUCAUUGGUUGUUUGUUUUCUAUCAACUCCGCUAGGUAAUAAUGAUAUUUGCAAUGAUGCUGAGUUAUAUUAUCCAUAGUUGUGCUAAGAUGGCCGCCAAUAAAAUUACUAAUAUGUCCAAAGUUUCGGGUGAUAUGGCAGCUUAACUGGAUGUAAUGCCGAUAUCGGCUCACCAGAUCGUACCCGUUAGCGGGCGAGUGCUGAUAAUGGUACCCACUUACUAUAAGUGAAGCAUUGAGUGGUCCGUUCCGUUAGUGCAGAUCUCGGUAGUAGUAGCAAAUAUUUAAGUUCGAUCCUUGAAGACUGAAGUGGAGAAGGGUUCCACGUGAACAGUAGUUGGAUGCGGGUCAGUCGAUCCUAAGAUACUGGCUUAUGCCUUGUAUCAUUAAGAGAGAAAAGUUUCUAUCUUUUCUUUUAGAUAUCGAAAGGGAAUAGGGUUAAUAUUUCCUAACGUAGACACAGAGAUUAUGAUUCGUAUGAAUCAUUUGCGCGGUAACGCAUUCGAACUUGGUGAACGUCGCUUAAAAACCGAGCUAGAGUUUUCUUCUCUAGUUAAGGAACGAACUCCCUGGAAUCGGUUCAGCCGUAGAUAGGGACGUUGUUUUCGUAAAGUAUCGCGGUUUCUGUGAUAUCUCGUGUUUUUUGGACGAUCCAUGAAAAACUAAGUGAGGCUAUUAAUCUGUGCUACAUCGUACCGAUGUUCGCAUCAGGUCUCCAAGGUGAACAGCCUCUAGUCGAUAGAAUAAUGUAGGUAAGGGAAGUCGGCAAAUUUGAUCCGUAACUUCGGAAAAAGGAUUGGCUCCAGUGAUCGGAUCGAUUGGCUUGUUAUCUGAUGCUUGUACGGAUUUAUCCAUGACCGACGUCAAAACGUUAUGUGUAUGUAUACGUGUAUCACAUGUACGACGUAUAUGUGAUGAUAUUGGACUAGU
rnacentral:ncRNA from 1 species